CCUACGGGGGACAGCAGUGAGGAAUAUUGGUCAAUGGGCGCGAGCCUGAACCAGCCAAGUAGCGUGAAGGAUGACUGCCCUACGGGUUGUAAACUUCUUUUAUAAAGGAAUAAAGUGAGGCACGUGUGCCUUUUUGUAUGUACUUUAUGAAUACGGAUAGGCUAACUCCGUGCCAGCCGCCGCGGUAAUACGGAGGAUCCGAGCGUUAUCCGGAUUUAUUGGGUUUAAAGGGAGCGUAGAUGGGUUGUUAAGUCAGUUGUGAAAGUUUGCGGCUCAACCGUAAAAUUGCAAUUGAUACUGGCAGUCUCGAGGACAGUUGAGGUAGGCGGAAUGCGUGGUGUAGCGGUGAAAGGCUUAGAUAUCAAGAAGAACUCCGAUUGCGAAGGCAGCUUACUAAACUGCCACUGACAUUGAUGCUCGAAAGUGUGGGUAUCAAACAGGAUUAGAUACCCGGGUAGUC
rnacentral:rRNA from 1 species